rnacentral:rRNA from 1 species
AGCGAACGCUGGCGGCAGGCCUAACACAUGCAAGUCGAACGAACCCUUCGGGGUUAGUGGCGGACGGGUGAGUAACACGUGGGAACGUGCCUUUAGGUUCGGAAUAACUCAGGGAAACUUGUGCUAAUACCGAAUGUGCCCUUUGGGGGCAAGAUUUAUCGCCUUUAGAGCGGCCCGCGUCUGAUUAGCUAGUUGGUGAGGUAAAGGCUCACCAAGGCUACGAUCAGUAGCUGGUCUGAGAGGAUGACCAGCCACAUUGGGACUGAGACACGGCCCAAACUCCUACGGGAGGCAGCAGUGGGGAAUCUUGCGCAAUGGGCGAAAGCCUGACGCAGCCAUGCCGCGUGGAUGAUGAAGGUCUUAGGAUUGUAAAAUCCUUUCACCGGUGAAGAUAAUGACUGUAGCCGGAGAAGAAGCCCCGGCUAACUUCGUGCCAGCCGCCGCGGUAAGAC